GUGGCCCUCAAGUCAGG
rnacentral:rRNA from 1 species